UACGGAGGGGGCUAGCGUUGUUCGGAUUUACUGGGCGUAAAGCGCACGUAGGCGGAUCGUUAAGUCGGGGGUGAAAUCCUGGAGCUCAACUCCAGAACUGCCUUCGAUACUGGCGAUCUUGAGUCCGGAAGAGGUGAGUGGAACUCCUAGUGUAGAGGUGGAAUUCGUAGAUAUUAGGAAGAACACCAGUGGCGAAGGCGGCUCACUGGUCCGGUACUGACGCUGAGGUGCGAAAGCGUGGGGAGCAAACAGGG
rnacentral:rRNA from 1 species